CACGUAGGGCGCAAGCGUUGUCCGGAAUUAUUGGGCGUAAGAGCUCGUAGGCGGUCUGUUACGUCUGCUGUGAAAACCCAGGGCUUAACCCUGGGCUUGCAGUGGAUACGGGCAGACUAGAGGCAGGUAGGGGAGAAUGGAAUUCCCGGUGUAGCGGUGAAAUGCGCAGAUAUCGGGAGGAACACCGGUGGCGAAGGCGGUUCUCUGGGCCUGACCUGACGCUGAGGAGCGAAAGCGUGGGGAGCGGACAGG
rnacentral:rRNA from 1 species